rnacentral:lncRNA from 1 species
GGAAAUGCAGACCCAAAGGCACAGUUAGAUUGAACACUUACAUACAGAAUUAGACAAAGAGUCAUGAAAUGUGAAAAUGUCACAAGGCCAAGAAACUUGGGCUGAGUGGUUAAUUGAGUGAAAAAGUGGCUUGGAAGGUAUCUCCGCCCUAUGAAGGCCUUGAUGGGGAGCAACUCAGGCCUUGAAGGUAAAUGUCCUGUCCCACAGGUGCCAUGAGCUCCGGGAAGUAGAGACGUGAUCAGACUCCCCUGCUUCAGCCUUGUACUUGUCACCGGAGGGAGAUGUGCAGGUGCAAGCCCGACCAAGGGACACCUCCGUGGCCAUGACAGCUUUUCUUCUUAAAAGAAAAAACUGGACCGUGGGUUCAGAAAUCCAAAUCCAUUUGUUUAUACUCG